UCCCCCACCACGCUGCAGCUCCUGAGGACGAGGUCCAUGUUGAUGGUUGUCUCUGAACUCCUGUUCUUUAUGUGUCUGGCAUGCAGCGGGACUGAGGGUCACUCACACACAGCACAGAGCAGACGGUCUGCCUGGGCAUGAGGGCAGGGCCUCGUGUAUUCCAGGCUGGCUUUAAACUGGAUAUGUGACUGGGAUGAUCUUCAACUCCUUAUGCCUCCCGGGAGUUGGGAUUACAGGUGUGCACUACCAUGCCCAGCUCUAUGUGGUGCUAAGAGGCAAGCCCAGCAGCCUAAUGCAGGCUAGCCCAUACAAUAUCUGAGAUUCGCCUACAAGGGUCUACUGGGGAGCCCAGAGAGCUUCAGGCCAGCUUCAGUGGCAGCUGCUUCUCCCUGCUUCACCACACCUCAGCUGUGCAGCUCUGUGAAACCACCUCCAGCCAGUCUCCAGGACCUCACCAGGGAGUCACCUACAGAAGUAAGGUGCAAAGGAACCAGAAGUAAAGAAGAAACUGGAAUGGCGAGACUUCUUUCCUGCUGCUUGUCAGGGUCUCCCAGGCUUCACCUCAUGCCCCACUUUCCCCACUGUUGCCCAGCCGAUUGUCAGAGAAACACAGCAGGGGACCAGCAUCCUCUGCGGAUUCCUUCACUCGCUGCCCUGUUUUGUUUCUGUCAACUUGACACAAGCUAGAACUACUCAGGAAACGCCCCCACGAGACUGUCCUGUGGGGCGUUUUCUUGAUUAUUGGUUGAUGGGGGGUUGGGGGUGGGCUAGCCCACUGUGGGUAGUGCCACGCCUGGGCAGGUGGUCCUAGGGUGCGUAAAUAUAAGAAAGCAGGCUGAGCAAGCAGUGAGGGGCAAGCCGGUAAGCGGCCCUGGCUGCCGCACUGCCUUUGCUUCAGUUCUCACCACCAGGUUCCUGCCCUGGCUUCCCUCAGCGAUGGACUGUUGCCUGAAAGUGUAAAAUGAAAUAAAGCCUU